GAUGAACGCUAGCGGCAGGCUUAAUACAUGCAAGUCGAACGGCAGCGCGGGGCAACCUGGCGGCGAGUGGCGAACGGGUGAGUAAUAUAUCGGAACAUACCCUAGAGUGGGGGAUAACGUAGCGAAAGUUACGCUAAUACCGCAUACGCACUAAGGUGGAAAGUGGGGGAUCUUCGGACCUCAUGCUCAUGGAGUGGCCGAUAUCUGAUUAGCUAGUUGGUGAGGUAAAGGCUCACCAAGGCGACGAUCAGUAGCUGGUUUGAGAGAACGACCAGCCACACUGGAACUGAGACACGGUCCAGACUCCUACGGGAGGCAGCAGUGGGGAAUUUUGGACAAUGGGGGCAACCCUGAUCCAGCAAUGCUGCGUGAGUGAAGAAGGCCUGGUUGUAAGCUCUUUGUCUA
rnacentral:rRNA from 1 species